rnacentral:lncRNA from 1 species
AAAGGGGUGAGGAGCUCUACACAUGGGGUGGAUCCAUUUGUGUUUGUUUGUGUUGUCCGGGCAUAUCAAACUCCCUCGUAGGUUAGAACAUGCUCAAAUCUACCUCUCAUUGAAGGAAUUGUACGCAUGCAUACAAUUUGGACAUGAUCGAAGGAUGCACAAAGUGAUGUAUCUAGCAUCUAGGCACGGAAGGCAUCGGGAAUUUGAUACCCUUAUUCAGCAAGCGAGUUACAUCUACUAUACCAUCAAUUUUCUUAUCAAAUUCACAAC